CUGAAAAGUAGGGUUAUGUUUAUGUUUAUUUAUGUUUGUAUCUCAAAGUCAAUGAAAAAACCAUAGUUAAUCAAGUGUAUGAGUUACCUUAUGAGACGAAAGUGUUCAAGAAGCCUGACGUGGGGCAGAAUACAGCUGCGUUAAAUCCCAUGCUACACUUUUGGAUAUAAAACGUUGGCUACUCACCUAGCACCAAAGUGCUGAAGGAGAUGGACGUAGUGAAGGCUACAGUUGCGUUGAUUGACAGACACCACAGUGAUAUGCCUGCAACAAUGCACGUCCAGAGGAUAUAAAACGUUGGCUACUCACCUAGCACCAAAGUGCUGAAGGAGAUGGACGUAGUGAAGGCUACAGUUGCGUUGAUUGACAGACACCACAGUGAUAUGCCUGCAACAAUGCACGUCCAGAGGUUAGACAAACAGCACACUUGCUUUUAUACUACAAUAUUGAUUAUUCGUUUCUGUUUAUGACUGAUUUGUAAUCUAAAAAUAAUUUUAAAUAUCAUUAUACCUCUGCCGUAGCAAACCUGUAGACUAAGCCAAUUUCCAUUUACCUAUCUAGAUUCCCACUAAAAUAUUAACUUAAAAUUACCAGAUUUAUUACCUUUCAAAUAACCUUAAUAUUAAUGAACACUUAGCUUUGCUGCUACAGAGGUGUGUUUUUAAUUGAAUCGUUGAUAGCUAAUUAGUAUGAAAUACAAAGAUUUGUCAAAUUGUAUUACAAUAUAUCCAUAAACAAGCAAACUACAGCAGUUUACUU